CUGAGGGUAGCUUAAGGGUUUAAAGCUCAGGAUUCUUACUCCUGCGAUGUUUGGGUUAUAUAACCUCUCAGG
rnacentral:tRNA from 1 species